UUCUUUUUCUUGUUCUUCGCCGUCUCUUUCGUCUUC
rnacentral:sRNA from 1 species